GUGUCUGGGGAGGAAGCUUCUCGCUUCUUUGCCGUGGAGCCUGACACUGGUGUGGUCUGGCUCCGACAGCCGCUGGACAGAGAGACCAAGUCAGAAUUCACGGUGGAGUUCUCUGUCAGUGACCACCAGGGGGUGAUCACGCGGAAGGUGAACAUCCAGGUUGGGGACGUGAAUGACAAUGCACCCACCUUUCACAACCAGCCCUACAGCGUCCG